CUGGUAAACCAGUAAUUCUGGUGGUGAUGCAUCACACCUUUGAUCCUGACCGUGUUGUAGCUGAAAGCAGGAGAUUAGUGACCGACCCGAACGUCCUCCUCACUGUGGACUGUCUGUUCUAUGAUCAACACGUCCUGAAAUGUAGCCGCAAUGAAACUGGAUGGUGUGAAGUUAAGAAGAGUCUUCAUGUUCCAGAGGCCCCUAUGGAGUGUAAGUGUGACUUUAAUUAAUUUCACAUCAGAUUUAUGUUGUCUCUUUAUAAAAUGCAACAUGCAAUAUUUUCUUAUGAAGGCCUCUAUCAGAACAAUCCAUACAUGCUCUUUAUAGUGUUAUUUAGCUCCUUGAGAGAUUCUCCUGUAUCAGUUAAACUUACAUUUAUACAUCUGCCUAAUCCUAAAAGGAACUAAUUUCAGUUUUAUGAACUGAUAUAUCGCUCUUUCAAUAUUGCUGCUAUCAAAGAUUUAGAUUUUAAAGUGGACAUGCAACAUGUAGUAAUUUCAGUAAACAUUUAAAAGUGCUCUUAAAAUGAUUUAUAUAUGUUUGUCAUGGUGAUGAUCCUACAGAAAAUGAUGAACAAAGUCCCAACAGAUUAUUAUUUGAUGAAUCUUGCUUAAGAAUUUAGUUUAGACUGAGCUUCCUCAUGUUCAGGUAUUUGACUACACAGAUUUACUCUACAGCUGAAUCAAUAAGACUCAAAUGUUCUUUAUACAUCCACAGCAGUCGUUGCCUUAUUUGCAAGAAACACUAACAGGGCUCAUCAUGACCGUGAUGAAAAGCUUAAAGGUGUUGGUCACACUGAGGUAAACCAUUCGGCCCCCCCAGGUGACUCCGAUGCCGAGGUUAAAAGAGAAAAAGAGGUGACCCAUGAACAAACACCUGCUUCAUGGAACAAGUUCUUUGUCUUCUUGGCGGGAAACACUAACGGGGCUCAUCAUGACCUUGUUGAAAAGCUUAAAGGUGUUGGUCACACUGAGGUGAACUCUCCUGAAGAAUGUGACUAUGUUCUGGUUUUUUGUCCUGUCGCUACAGGGGUUGGAAUGGACGUCAGAGAGGCUCUGGAUAAAACUCCUGCUGGUAAACCAGUAAUUCUGGUGGUGAUGCAUCACACCUUUGAUCCUGACCGUGUUUUAGCUGAAAGCAGGAGAUUAGUGACCGACCCAAACGUCCUCCUCACUGUGGACUGUCUGUUCUAUGAUCAACACGUCCUGGAAUGUAGCUGCAAUAAAACUGCAUGGUGUGAAGUUAAGAAGUGUCUUCAUGUUCCAGAGGUAACGACUAAAAUGAAGAAUCAAUUUACUGAUGAUGUGAUGUUUUUAAUAAAAGAUCGUCACUGUUCAAUGAUGCACUUUGAUUAUUAA
ensembl:lncRNA